GUGUCAGCAGCCGCGGUAAUACAGAGGGGGCAAGCGUUAUUCGGAAUUAUUGGGCGUAAAGGGCGCGUAGGCGGUCCUUCAAGUCUCUCGUGAAAUCCCUCGGCUUAACUGAGGACGUGCGGGAGAUACUGCUGGGCUUGAGUCCGGAAGAGGGUGGUGGAAUUCCCAGUGUAGCGGUGAAAUGCGUAGAUAUUGGGAGGAACACCGGUGGCGAAGGCGGCCACCUGGGCCGGAACUGACGCUGAGGCGCGAAAGCGUGGGGAGCAAACGGGAUUAGAUACCCCUGUAGUCC
rnacentral:rRNA from 1 species